rnacentral:lncRNA from 10 species
AAGCUGUAGAAACUGUACUAGGUAUUAUAGAUUCAACAAUGUUUUCUAUCCUUCUGUGACACACAGCUUAGGAGUGAUUAGACAGCAUGGAUGGAUGGAUAGAUAUAGAGACAGACAGAUGAUGGCAAUACCCAACCUGUACUUUACUUUUGUGUGGCAGUACCAGUUCUAAGGAGCUUCACAGUGGGCUUCAUUUACCCUCACUGUCCUGAGAUGGAGGUAGGUUUAGAGGCUCAACUGAACUACCAUUUGUCACAAGGUAUUGGAACUCAGAGUGUUAAAUGAAUGGGUUUAUGUACAUAAGAAUAUCACCAGAU